UACGUAGGGUCCGAGCGUUGUCCGGAAUUACUGGGCGUAAAGAGCUCGUAGGUGGUUUGUCGCGUUGUUUCGUGAAAAACUCACAGCUCAACUGUGGGCGUGCGGGCGUACGGGCAGACUAGAGUACUGCAGGGGAGACUGGAAUUCCUGGUGUAGCGGUGGAAUGCGCAGAUAUCAGGGAGGGAACACCGGUGGGCGAAGGC
rnacentral:rRNA from 1 species